GUGCUUGAUUCAGCAGGAUGUUUACUAAAAUUGGACCGAUACAAAGAAGAUUAACAUGGUCCCUGCAAGGAUGACAUGCAAAUUCACGAAGCAUUCCAUAUUUUA